AUAUAUAUACAUAAUUCUUAAAUUCGCGUAUCCGUGUGAAUGUGUGAGUGCAUGUUGAUGUCAAUGCGCAGGUGUCCGUACCUCCCCCGCGAACGUUCUCUGCCUCGUGCACAACAGACCUGGGGCUUGAUUCUUGAAUUCAUUCGCAAGAGAAACGCUUACAGUAUCAUAGAAUUUAGUGAUGGCCUGGCAAUAGUGCCGUCACAUUGGUUGAACAAUGAUGAAACAAAAUGCACUUAUCCUAAUUUUCGGGAUCCAGCAAAAAUAAAAAAGGCUGUUGCGUCACAACAGCUUCCUGAGGAUAACCCGAACUGGAAAAUGUACGAUGUUUUAAGGAUCUUCUAUAAAACAAAUUCAUACCAAAGAGCAAAAGACAAGUUACUUAUUGCUGAGAAAAUGUCAGAUUUAGCAACUAACGAAAGUUCAGAAGAUGAGACCAAAAGAUGCGACAAAGAAAAAAAAUCGAGACACAUGCGAGCUAAAAAAAAUAAUUCUUCGUCGGAAGAGUGUGAUGGAUUCGAUUCUGAUACAAGUCAGGAAUUAACAAAAUUAUCAUCCUUUCCGAAAGUUCCUGACAAAUUAAAUAUUACAAAGAAAAAGAUUCCUGCAAGUCAGAAAAUAGUUCCACCGCCAUUAUCAUCUAACGUAGAACGAUCAAAAUCUGAAUGCCAGAAGAGUCAUGCUAUACAUACCAAAAGUUUACAUCAAGAAGAGACAAUAAAUAAAUACACAAAAGGGAAAUAUGUUGACAAUUCAUCAGAUGAAAAUAACAACUUGCAAAAUUUAAAGACUGCAAAGCAAAUGUCUACUAAAAGCAAGAAUUUAAUAACUGAAAAAAAUGAAUUUCAAAUAGAAGUAAUAAGAAAAUUACAGUUAAUACUUAACAGAAUCACUGCUCUUGAAAAUCGGAUGGUUUUAUUGCAAGCAUCAAACAUUGUGCCGCAGGAAGCAGCCAAUGUUAUAGAGUAUGAGGAGUAUGAUCUACCGUUGAAAAAUAUGCAAACAUUAAUCCGAUUAGAAAACCAAUUAAAAGAUAGCUCAUUCGCAGACAAAAUGGUGAACACGCUAAAACAAGUGGGUGGAGUGAAUUUGUCCAACAUAAUCUCAAAUAUUUUAAAAAAGUUAUUGAGCGACGAUCUUGCACAGAGUUUCAGUUAUUUGGGACAACGAAACAAAAGAAAUUUUAGUGCUCUAAAACUAUGCUCAAUCAUGAAAAAUAAAAAUGUACGCUUAUAUAAAAUUGUUAUCUGGGAAAAAUAAAGACAAAAAAAAAAUUAUUCCCACAUCUUGCAUCAAGAAUUUUAAACCAGAGUCACACAAGAAAAUUUUAAAGUAUCAAGUGGAAGAAACAGUAGGCGAAGAACCGUAUGUAGCAACGAUUUUGUUACUAUCAGAUUCAAAUGAAGAACUUAAAGAAAUAAUUAGAACAAAAAGUGUUCGUGCUUCACCAUCGUAUUUGCUUGUGACAGCUUCGGAUAAAUCUGACAACGAGGGAAAAAAAACAGUUUAAAGCGUUCAAAAACUUUUCAAAUGAAUCGUCAGUUAAAAGAACAAGAGGAACUAGUCUGUAAUAAAUUAUCAAAGUUUAAGAGUGAUUUAUUGCCAAUAAACGUUACAUUAAAAGAUAAGGAAAAUUUAGAUUUGUCAAACAUUACUGAUACACCGCCAUCACCCAAAAAAUAUAGAGUAACAGAAGAUUUAGCACAAACAAAAAAUAAAUUCAUGCAAGAUGACAAUCUAGUCAAAGCACUAACCAAAGAAA